UACGUAGGCAGCGAGCGUUGUUCGGAGUUACUGGGCGUAAAGGGUGUGUAGGCGGUCUUUUAAGUUUGGUGUGAAAUCUCCCGCUUAACCGGGAGGGUGCGCCGAAUACUGAGGGACUAGAGUGCGGGAGAGGAAAGUGGAAUUCCUGGUGUAGCGGUGAAAUGCGCAGAUAUCAGGAGGAACACCGGUGGCGAAGGCGGGAUCCUGGGCCAGUACUGACGCUGAGGAGCGAAAGCGUGGGGAGCAAACAGG
rnacentral:rRNA from 1 species